UUGUACCCCUAUUAAGAACAAAUACAUGCACCGGUGCUUAACCCGAGUUAAGGUGUUUCGAUGAUCCCAAUUGCACCUUCGUAAAGAGGUAAAGCAUCAAGUGGUCAAAUAAAUGAAAAGGGAAUUCAAAUUUAUGUUCAAGUGGCCGAUAAUCAAACUGAAUUCCCGCCCGUAUAGGCUAAUUAGUAUUGAAAUCCAUACCUUAAACUUUGUUUAAAUUCUCAAUUUUAUACGUCUCAGAUGAUGUUUGGCCAAAAGUAGUGACGGAGAAUGCGAACUUUCGUCUUUCGAUCGCAAGGCGACACUUCACGUGACAAUUUCGGGAUGGUUUCACGAAAGCUAACAGGAACAACAAUCUGGUGUUGAGUAAACAAGACGGACGAGACAGAUUCAGUUGGUCGAGAUAGCCUGUCCUAAGCCUCGUGCACUCAUCAGAAGUGUCCAACGGGUCACCAAAAGCUGCCAUGCUGGUGGGAAAAUAUGGGAGAACGAUUCAAGAUGGGAGUGCCUUGACAAAAGAAUUCGAUAAACUUUUUAAAACUGGUGGACAGUUCGGGUUAUAUUGGCCUACCCCUUUUUACGGUUCGAGGACAGAUUUGCAUGAGAAUUUCCACUUUUAUGUGCUGCUUUAAAUGUGCAAAGUAUUUGAAUGCUUCUGUAAACUGAAUACUCGGAGAUACGGCGUAAUAAAAGCAACACUGCAUUAAAGGUUGAAA